CAGCCAGGCAGACAGAGGAGAACUGAAGUUCGACCAGUUGUUACCCUCCACGGCUAAAUAAAUCGGUUUCAGUAAUGCACUGAUAUACAAGAAUGGACAUAAGGGGCUUCUUUCAAAGAAAAAACUCUGGCUAGCUGUGCACUGAAAGAGAGAGGCCCCAGACUGGAAGGUUAAUGCGAGAUGGCAAGUGUGAUGCGGCGACCAAGUCCUGACCUCAUGGAACGGCAACAGUAAGAGACAACGCGUGUGAUUGGCAGCAGGGCAGAGGUUUACCUCUGCCUGCAUUUGUGAGUAGGGUCUCUACUGUUGUUUACUGGGUGCAGCUGGAUUGGGAGAGGGUCACCAUGGCCAUGAGCCAGGGCCGCUUCUGGGACCAUUGUUCUGGCCCCUAUUUGUUAUGUUGCAGGACACCGACGCAAGGGGAGCUGUGGCGGUGGUCACAUCAUGGAUUCGGGUGCAGAACGCAAGCCGGGCUGGGAAGCGAUGGGCCAGCGGAAGGACAAGAAGAUGGGUGGCUCUUUCUUCUCUGCUGAAGACGGGGCUGGCGUGGACUCUGCUCUAAAGGAGGAAUUCCUGGCCUGCUGAUGGACCCAUAAUGAACAUGUGGCCUAAUUAUAGCAGGGGGGUUUUUAGUGAAUGUAGAAAAUGGUAGUUUUACGGGUUUUAGAAUUGUUUUUAGUAGAGGGCAAACAUUUUAUUACAUACAUUUUAAGGGUGUUUUUAUUUGUGCUCCCUGGCCUAGUAAUAAACUGUUUCUGAUCAGACCUGCUUCCUCUCUGUGCCCGUGGUAUCUGACUCGCUUGCUCCCCCUUGUAUUUUAAAGAAUCUUUCUUUUUAGCGUGGCAUUCUGGCGCGACCGCUUUAGUGUAUCCGCCGCGCGCUACAGUUAUUUAUUUUGUUUGUUUUUGUUUGUUUGCUUCUUGCUUUUGGUUGUUGCAUCUCCGUAUUUGCUGUUAUAAAAUGCAAAAUCUAAUAAAUACUUGAAUUAUAAAAAAAACAAAUAUGUUUUUUAUAUUUAUCAAUCUAAAAAUAAUUAACAUUUAGUCUGAUUUGAUGUUACAAUUAAAAAAGUGUUUUUAUCUGAAGAGUAUGUAAAUAUCUGGUUUCACCGUAUCAUAGGUACUCAUGUAUCUCAUACCUAGUGUUUCUUUUUAGGUUUGUUAUUUUUCAAAUUCUAUAUUUAUUAAGUUUUGCAGGCUUGUUUGCACAACAAGGCUAAAUAAUUAUAUAAACUUUUCUCAAUCGAAAUACUGUACUUUGGUAGAAUUAAAAAAACAAGUGUAGUGCAGGUCUAUGGUGAUUUUAGUGCUACUAUCAUCUAGUUUUGAUUGUGGUUCUGUUUUGGUUAAGUCCUCAGUAGUCCUGAUUUUGAACUGUUGUAGUCCUGUUUUAAUUCUAGAUCAGUUCUGGGUCUGGUUGAAUUGGGGUUUAGUCCUCGUGUCUUGAUACAGCCCCGACUUUGUUCUGCCUCGCUGCUUAAUUAAAAAACUAGUUUAAGGUGUCCUGCAUAUGUGAUAUAUUUUAUUUCCUAUAUGAAGUCAUUCUUUUUUUGAACAAAACUCAAAACAGAGCCUAUUAAUCUUUCAGUCAUUUCUACCCCCCCCCCCCCCCCCCCAAAAAAAAAAAAAAAUCCCACAUGCACACUACCCUUUUGGGCUAAGCCCCGGGUGUUUCAAAUGUCUGGCUCCGCCUCUGGUGUGGGGUCUGUCCACAGUCCAAAGACAUGCAGUUAGUGGGGUUAGGUGUGAAUGGUUGUCUGUCUCUGUGUUAGCCCUGUGACAGACUGGCGACCUGUCCAGGGUGUACCUCGCCUCUCGCCCUAAGGCAGCCAACAAAGGCUCCAGCCCCCCGUGACCCUGAAUUGGAUAAGUGGAAGAAAAUGGAUGGAUGGAAGUUACAGAGGCAACAAAUACAGCUGAAUGUUGUCUUCAGAGAGCUGCAGAGUCAGGAAAGAAAUGUCUGUUUCUUUCUCCGUGACUCUGAGUUACUGACUUUUAAACCUUGUUAGACUGAAGGCAUACCAGUAUAAAUACUGCAUAAAAGUCCACACGGGAACAUUUUAGUGAGACCUUAAGUGCAUUAGCAGUAAAUGUCAUGAUAAGCUGUGUGGCAGGCCAGGUUAGGACCCAAGCACUGGACUCGGAGACAGAAAGUUUAACUAAAGCCAGCAGCCUUAUUGCUGGAAAAUACAGUGACCGAAUCUAUAAGCUAGAACUACAAAUAUAACAGGAGCAGAACACAAUCAAGAGAACCAAAACCAUGACUGACGCCAAACCAAGGAAUAUAAACAAAACAAAAUAAAAAAAACUCGAACACUGGGUCACCAGACCGUGACAAAAUCAGAGUACAUCCAUGUGCUGCACAGCAAAAAAAAAAAAACAAAACAGUUUGGAAAUAAGAUUCCAACAUUUUCAAAGCCAGACCAUUGUCACAUGUCAGACAGAUUUCCCAGUUUACCCGAUGAAUAUGUGUGUAUUUAUCAUCUUUUAUAAUUCCCUCUCUCUUUUAUAAACUGACGCAUAUUGAUCCAAAUCAAUUUCAUGCACUUUGGGUUUUGCGUUUUUUUAAUUCAAAGGAGACGACUCGUCUUUAAUUUCAGCUAACAUGCUGUGCAGAAGAAUCAUGUUAGAAAAAAAAAGCAGAAUGAUGCAAGAGUAAUUAAUGCUUGUCUCCUAACCAUGGGAACAAACAACAAUGGGAGAACAGGGUCAUCCCACGCUGGUCCCACGAUUCAGUGUCAGGAAGCUUUAAGCGUAGACUCACGUUAACAGGAAGUGACUACACUGAAUUAUAUCUAGGAUUUCAGACUAAAGGUGGGAGGGUAGUGGGAUGUAAAGUUAAACACCUCCAGAGGGCUCAACAAAAAGUUGUUGCAUCAGCACCACCCACCUCCACAUCACAGCAGAAUGGGAGAAAACAGAGUGGGCACCUCUGGAUGUGUUGAGGUAAUCAGGACUCUUCUCAUCAAUGACAGUCUGAUUCUUUGUCUUCCUGUCUGUGGCCAGGAGGUCUGCUGCCUAUA
ensembl:lncRNA